rnacentral:rRNA from 1 species
GAGUUUGAUCCUGGCUCAGGAUGAACGCUGGCGGCGUGCUUAACACAUGCAAGUCGAACGAAGCGCCUUAUUUGAUUUUCUUCGGAACUGAAGAUUUGGUGACUGAGUGGCGGACGGGUGAGUAACGCGUGGGUAACCUGCCCCGUACAGGGGGAUAACAAUCAGAAAUGACUGCUAAUACCGCAUAAGACCACAGCACCGCAUAGUGCAGGGGUAAAAACUCCGGUGGUACAGGAUGGACCCGCGUCUGAUUAGCUGGUUGGUGAGGUAACGGCUCACCAAGGCGACGAUCAGUAGCCGGCUUGAGAGAGUGAACGGCCACACUGGGACUGAGACACGGCCCAAACUCCUACGGGAGGCAGCAGUGGGGAAUAUUGCACAAUGGGGGAAACCCUGAUGCAGCAACGCCGCGUGAGUGAAGAAGUAUUUCGGUAUGUAAAGCUCUAUCAGCAGGGAAGAAAGUGACGGUACCUGACUAAGAAGCCCCGGCUAACUACGUGCCAGCAGCCG